rnacentral:rRNA from 1 species
CCUACGGGAGGCAGCAGUGGGGAAUUUUGGACAAUGGGGGCAACCCUGAUCCAGCAUGCCGCGUGAGUGAAGAAGGCCUUCGGGUUGUAAAGCUCUUUUGUCAGGGAAGAAAGGGUGAUUCUUAAUACGGAUUGCUAAUGACGGUACCUGAAGAAUAAGCACCGGCUAACUACGUGCCAGCAGGCGCGGUAAUA